rnacentral:rRNA from 1 species
GAUGAACGCUGGCGGCGUGCCUAAUACAUGCAAGUCGAGCGAACAGACGAGGAUCUUGCUCCUCUGACGUUAGCGGCGGACGGGUGAGUAACACGUGGAUAACCUACCUAUAAGACUGGGAUAACUUCGGGAAACCGGAGCUAAUACCGGAUAAUAUAUUGAACCGCAUGGUUCAAUAGUGAAAGACGGUUUUGCUGUCACUUAUAGAUGGAUCCGCGCCGCAUUAGCUAGUUGGUAAGGUAACGGCUUACCAAGGCAACGAUGCGUAGCCGACCUGAGAGGGUGAUCGGCCACACUGGAACUGAGACACGGUCCAGACUCCUACGGGAGGCAGCAGUAGGGAAUCUUCCGCAAUGGGCGAAAGCCUGACGGAGCAACGCCGCGUGAGUGAUGAAGGUAUUCGGAUCGUAAAACUCUGUUAUUAGGGAAGAACAAAUGUGUAAGUAACUAUGCACGUCUUGACGGUACCUAAUCAGAAAGCCACGGCUAACUACGUG